rnacentral:ncRNA from 1 species
AGCGAAGAGAAAAGUAGCGAUUUUCUCACAUAGCCGUCACGCGCUUUAUAGAAUAUAGCCGGAAUACAGGGUGACCGCUCCGUAAGUCUAUAAGUAAGCCGCCUUG